rnacentral:lncRNA from 1 species
CUGCAAUUUCAACCCCAAUCUCAAUCACAACCACAAUCACAUCCUCAACCUCAGCAGAAGUCUCAAUCAUCGUCUCAGUCACAGCAACCUUGGCCUCAUCAGCAAUUCCAACCUCAAUCUCAAUCUCAACUGCAGCCACAACCUCAACCUCAGCAGCAGUUUCAAUCUCCAUCUCAGUCACAACCUCAACCUCAGCAGCAGUUUCAAUCUCCAUCUCAGUCACAACAUCCUCCGCCUCAGCAGCAAUUCCAACCUCAACCACAAUCACUGCCUCAACCUCAACCUCAGCAGCAGUUCCAAUCUCCAUCUCCGUCAGAGCAUCCUUGGCCUCAGCAGCAAUUCCAACCCCAGUCUCAACCACUAUCACAGCCUCAACCUCAGCAGCAAUUUCAGAUUCAUUCUCAAUCACAACGUCCUCGGC